rnacentral:rRNA from 1 species
AUUGAACGCUGGCGGCAGGCUUAACACAUGCAAGUCGAGCGGAGAUGAGGUGCUUGCACCUUAUCUUAGCGGCGGACGGGUGAGUAAUGCUUAGGAAUCUGCCUAUUAGUGGGGGACAACAUUCCGAAAGGAAUGCUAAUACCGCAUACGUCCUACGGGAGAAAGCAGGGGAUCUUCGGACCUUGCGCUAAUAGAUGAGCCUAAGUCGGAUUAGCUAGUUGGUGGGGUAAAGGCCUACCAAGGCGACGAUCUGUAGCGGGUCUGAGAGGAUGAUCCGCCACACUGGGACUGAGACACGGUCCAGACUCCUACGGGAGGCAGCAGUGGGGAAUAUUGGACAAUGGGGGGAACCCUGAUCCAGCCAUGCCGCGUGUGUGAAGAAGGCCUUAUGGUUGUAAAGCACUUUAAGCGAGGAGGUGGCUACUGAGACUAAUACUCUUGGAUAGUGGACGUUACUCGCAGAAUAAGCACCGGCUAACUCUGUGCCAGCCGCCGCGGUAAGAC